rnacentral:rRNA from 1 species
UACGUAGGGGGCAAGCGUUGUCCGGAUUUAUUGGGCGUAAAGAGCGUGUAGGCGGCUGGGUAGGUCCGUUGUGAAAACUCGAGGCUCAACCUCGAGACGCCGGUGGAAACCCUCCAGCUAGAGUCCGGAAGAGGAGAGUGGAAUUCCUGGUGUAGCGGUGAAAUGCGCAGAUAUCAGGAAGAACACCCGUGGCUAAGGCGGCUCUCUAGUACGGUACUGACGCUGAGACGCGAAAGCGUGGGGAGCGAACAGG